AUACGGAGGAUCCGAGCGUUAUCCGGAUUUAUUGGGUUUAAAGGGAGCGUAGGUGGAUUGUUAAGUCAGUUGUGAAAGUUUGCGGCUCAACCGUAAAAUUGCAGUUGAAACUGGCAGUCUUGAGUACAGUAGAGGUGGGCGGAAUUCGUGGUGUAGCGGUGAAAUGCUUAGAUAUCACGAAGAACUCCGAUUGCGAAGGCAGCUCACUAGACUGUUACUGACACUGAUGCUCGAAAGGGUGGGUAUCAAACAGGAUUAGAUACCCUGGUAGUCCACACAGUAAACGAUGAAUACUCGCUGUUUGCGAUAUACAGUAAGCGGCCAAGCGAAAGCAUUAAGUAUUCCACCUGGGGAGUACGCCGGCAACGGUGAAACUCAAAUGAAUUGGCGGGG
rnacentral:rRNA from 1 species